rnacentral:tRNA from 1 species
GGCUUCAUGGCGCAGUGGAAGCGUGCCGGGCUCAUAACCCGGAGGUCCCCCGAUCGAAACGGGGUGAAGCCA